AGUGGGGAAUAUUGCACAAUGGAGGAAACUCUGAUGCAGCAACGCCGCGUGGAGGAUGACACUUUUCGGAGCGUAAACUCCUUUUAUAUAGGAAGAUAAUGACGGUACUAUAUGAAUAAGCACCGGCUAACUCCGUGCCAGCAGCCGCGGUAAUACGGAGGGUGCAAGCGUUACUCGGAAUCACUGGGCGUAAAGAGCGUGUAGGCGGGUUAAUAAGUCAGAUGUGAAAGCCAAUGGCUCAACCAUUGAACUGCAUUUGAAACUGUUAAUCUAGAAUAUGGGAGAGGUAGAUGGAAUUUCUGGUGUAGGGGUAAAAUCCGUAGAGAUCAGAAGGAAUACCGAUUGCGAAGGCGAUCUACUGGAACAUUAUUGACGCUGAGACGCGAAAGCGUGGGGAGCAAA
rnacentral:rRNA from 1 species